UUCGGCAUCAGUACGUGUCCCACUAUCCGUGCAGGGUAUGGCCACGAGCAAGCCUACAGCUUAUACCUGUUGCCGUUCUCCGAUGAGUCAGGGCCGUACGCGAUGCGUUGGUAGAAUCGGGUGGUACUGUCGCCGCCUAAAAUCCACUCUCAUUAAACGGAGUCUCGGAUUUUUGUCGGGACAGGAUAUCAAUUCAUCCAGUCGCAAACGACGGAAAAUCUGGAUUUGUUGAAGGAUGCAUCUGUUGGAAAGGUUUUUAUUAAUAUACGGCGAAACAGUCUAACGUGAAUAAUAAAUGAGUACUGCAUUUCGAUAUUUUCGUAGCAAAAUAUCUUUGGAAGUGAAAUUGCUACAAUUUAUCUCUUAUCUGCGAAGAGAAACGAUUAUGUAAUUCAGACACAUUUCUUGCGAUAAUUCAUUAAUCUCCCCUUGCAGACUCCGGCCAGAUAUAUUUCAUCAUCAUAAUUGUGACGUUGAUAGAACUUCCGCGUAAAUUAGAUUAAAAUGCUGUUACAGUGUCAACGUGAUGUGAAAAUUACAGUUCCACCAAUAAGCUACAUUUUAUGUUCAAUCAACAUUCCUCCGUUUCUGGUGGGAAAAAUCGAUUAAAAAUACUCAAGGGGCACUUUUGUGCGCAUCAAGUUGGCUAUCAGAGAUACUGGAACAAUAACAAAGCGUCACAGAUUCAAUUUAGUCGGUGUGAACUACCAACAGACUACACGUGGAAUUCGUAAUGACUCUCGCCCAUAUAUUUGCGGCAAGUACUAGGACGACCGGGCAAGAACGAAAGUUCGUACUCACCAGAGUAUUUUCUGAUUGAAGACACUGCCGAAAAUGAUUGAUGCAAGGGUACUGUAAGUUCGGUGCACUCACAACCUCAGGGGAUGCGUGGAGGACAAACACUGCAAUCCCUAACAUCAUCGCAACUUCAUCCAUUUUCGUUUCAUCACAACCUGCAAUCCAAUCAUUAUGAAUGUACGUCGUAAUGAGGACCAACCUUGUGGAGAACAAAGCCUUGGAAGACCUUCCAUCACAUUCAGAGUGGCAGCAAUGAGCCUGCCACAUUCCUCCGAUGCUGUAUAUCCCCGAUGAGACAACACCGUUGUCGCACCACCUGGACUGGGAUUCAACGCUGGUAUUUGUCGUACGAGUAAGCACAAGCAAACUU